ensembl:lncRNA
ACCACUGUUCUAAGCCACUGUGAUGCCUGUCAUGGCUUCUGCUAAGUCUCUUGUGAUGGUGAGCGAUUACAGUUAAUCUACGUCUUGGCAUUGUCUUUACACGUUGAAAUCGUAAGCCUCCAUUAAAUGUGUAUGUUGCCAAUGAAUGAGAGAUUAUAGACAUUUAAUAAAUAAAACUUCAAGCAGACUAAAUUUCAGAGGAGGCACAGAAGACCCUCCAAUAAGAGAUGUACGUUUUUACCAGUGGACUUGCUUCCAGUGUCCAGCUUGUCUGGUUUUGGGCAACGGCAUGGGCCAGACUGGGCUGCACCUUGGACUUUGUGCCCUAGCGCCAGGCACAAAGACAAAAUUCAUUCCAGCAGGUCUAACGCAGCAAGGAAGUAAGAAUAGCAACCAUACUAAAGAGUUUGACAGGGAACAACGAAUAAAAUGGUCAGCAUGGGAGGACCAAACAUGGGAAGAGAGAAAUGGGGUUUCUCAACAAGAGGGCAGAACUUAGUGGCCAAAAUUCUAGGGGAAGGCAAUGUUCAGAGACUGAGGUGGGCAGACAGGUAGGCAGGGAAUCUAUUUAAGGGACAUCUACCAGCUGAUGCAAGGACUUUAGUCCCUGGGACAAGUAAUGACAAGAGCCUGGCAGGACCCAGUUGUACAGGGGGCAAAAUACCAACACUGAGAGUUGGAUACCCAGGACAAGGAAGGUGACCACUCGCCAAGAACAAUGUGGGCAACUCCUUACCAGUCCUCACAUAAGAGUCAAAUAGCAGUUGGGUCAACUUGAUGCUGGGUCCCAAGGUGGGUGUGUGGUCCCAGGACUGGGGUCAGGCUGAGCCUGUACGUGCUUCGAAGAGACUGGAGCUGUGGGAAGAGGUGGGCUACUGGCAAGAUCACACAUAACCCAGAGAAGUGGCUCUGAUGAAGAAAUUGUCCAGCCAGCAAGGAGCAAAGGGGUGGCAAUACGGCCAACUGGUCAGACUCCGCCACAAUCUGUAGGCAAUUGUGGUUUCAAAGGAAAUAGAUAAGUACAAAUGUAUAUAUUGACUUUUUCAACAUUUAAACAUUUUGAAUAAGGAAUGAAUCCACCUAGUUGUAAAUUUAAAGCGUGAAAGAGCGUAUAGUGAAAAUUCUCCUUCAUAUCCCUCUACCCCAGACAUCCAGUUUCCUCCUCGCAGCAAUAGUAUCUGCUUUUUGUUAGUGUAUAUAUACAUGUUUUUUCUUUGUGUACAUAUAUUUUCUCUUUUGUGUUUGUGUAUGUAUAUACAAUAUACCCCUUUUACCUAAAUGGUAGCAUACUAUAUUGUUCUGCUUCUUGCUUUUUUCCAUUAACAAUAUAUCUUGGAUAUAUUUCCAUAUUACUACAGAGGGUUUCUUCAUUUUUUUUUCAUAGUCGCAUAGUAUUCCAUAGAUGUACCAUGAUUUAUGUAACUCAUCUCCCACUGAUGAAUAUUUAGGUUGUCUUUAAUCUUUGGAGUUUAAAAUAGUCUUGUACAUACAUUAUUUCACACAUCUGUAAUUAUUUCUGUAGGAUAAAUCUCUAGAAGUGGAGUUGACGGGUCAAAAGCUUUAUGUAUUUGUAAUUUUGAUAAGUUUUCCAAAAUUAAACUCUGGGAUUAUAUCAAUUUACACUGCCACUAGCAAUUUAUGAGAGCAACCAGCAACUGAGUAUUUUAACUGUGUAGUUUAUCUUUGUGAAAAGGCUGAUGCGAUGACUGCAGAAAACAUUUCAUGGAAAUCGUUCCUACACAAAUAGGUCACCAGGGCUGAGACGGAGCACCCAACAAAGAGUCCCCCUUCUACCCCCAGGCCUGAGAUCAACACUGUGUUGGAGAGGUCACAGCUGUGGCUCACUGAAUGGCAGAGAAAUUGUGGUGUCCCAAUUCUGGAAGUUGCUAGAAAUCUACAGUCUGGAAAUUUCUGGAAAACAGCCCUCUGGAACUUGCUGGAAAUCUACCCUCUGGAACAUGGCAGAAAUUCACCCCCUGGGGUGCUUGAGAAAGCCAUCAUUACUGGGUCCUGCUGGCAACUGCGCACAACGGGAGUUGGGCAUCGGAGAAGCUGCCCAGGCUGCAGGAGUCUGGCACUCGACAAUGCCACCCAUGCUGCAGGAGCCUGCUGAGAGAGCACCCCGGAAGCAGGAAGCAAAACCUGUCUUCCCUCAAUAUCUGUCCAGCGCCCUCUACUGACAAUGUUUCAGUGCCAGCUGGCAAAGGAAAAAGAUUUAAAGGGCCCAGAUGCAUUUUCACAGAGCAGUGUAAAAGGAUGAAUUUGCAUGUAAGAGGGGAUACAUUGAUAACCGGCACAGCAGUCCUAGCACCCAGACUAUGGUCUUUGAAUACCAUUUCCUACUGAAAGGAGCCAGGGCUCUUAGAGAAAUGGUUGAUUCUAAGGCUGAGUCAGGAAAAGUACAGUAUGACCAUAGAACAUCUUGUCAUACAAGAAGGCAAGGAAGCUGCCAAAGAUUGCUGGGAUCAUGUCAAGAGGACUCAGUAGUCAAUGCGAAAAGAGUCCCAUUAGCAAAUGAUGGGACAAGCUAAGUAUCAGUAACAAUAAUAACUUCAAUGGAUAGAAAUACAUCAAAUAUGUUAAAAUGCAUAAGUUCAUAAUGAAACAAACUAGCAAAAAUUCUCAUUGAUCACCUAGAGAAUCAUCUUUUUUUAAACUGGUAAAUAAAAGGAAAAAAUCAAGAAUUUAACUUGCCUUUUCUUGUACAAACUGAGCUCAGGGAAACCAAAUAGUUAAUGAAGGAAAGUUUCUCUCUAUGGAAGUAUUCCAAUUUUAUUUCUUUUUUUUUUUUUUGGAAGAUUAGCCCUGAGCUAGCUACUGCCAAUCCUCCUCUUUUUGCUGAGGAAGACUGGCCCUGAGCUAACAUCCGUGCCCAUAUUCCUCUACUUUAUAUGUGGGACGCCUGUCACAGCAUGGCUUUUGCCCAGUGGUGCCAUGUCUGCACCCGGGAUCCGAACCGGCGAAACCCAGGACACCGAGAAGCAGAAUGUGCACACUUAACCGCUGCGCCACCAGGCUGGCCCCAGAAGUAUUCUAAUUUUAAAAUGAAGAGGGAAUUACAAAAUUAGAACUGUAGUUUUCAAAGUGUGGGCCCCUGGAUUCUUUCAGGGGUCCAUAAGUCAAAACUCUUUUCAUAAUAAUACUAAGACGGUAUUUACCUUUCCACUGGGUUGACGUGGUAUGGAUGGUGAAAAGCAACAGUGGCUAAAAGCGCUGGUGCCCUAGCAUGGAUUAAGGCAAUGGUACGGACCGAACUAGUAGUCUCUGUAUUCUUCACUGCCACGUUCACAGUAACGACCCUGUCAGUUUCCCUUAAGAGUGUCUUUGUUGAAACAGUAAAAAUUAUUAAUUUUAUUAAAUCUCAACCCUUGAGUCCACGUCCUUUUAAUAGUCUGUAUGAUAAGGCGCUGCUGCUGUACCCUGGAGUAUGAUGGCUGUCUUGAGGAAAAGCAACUGCGCAAUUAUUUAGUUGAGAGCUGAACUAGCCACUUUUUUUGGCGAACACAAUUUUUACUUAAAAGAACCGCUGACAGGCAACUAUGGUUAUUCAGACAGCAGUAUUUGGCAGGCAUUUUCUUGAAAAUUAAGAUGUGAGCCUUGUCACUUCAAGGAAAACAGCUUAGUAUUAAUUGCCAAUGAUAAAAAUCAAGCUUUCAAGUGAAAAGUGGAAUUUUGGAAAACUUGUAUCCACCACUGUGAGUUUAAUAUCUUCUCAGUGUUUAAAGACUUUUCUCAUGAGGUUGGUGGUAACAUUAACAACUGUGAUUUUUUUUGGAUAUUGUGCAACGAAAUGUGUCAACAUUUGCAAUAUUUGCAUAACUCAGUGAACCAAUAUUUUUGAAAUGACUAAUGCAUGAUGUUACAAAAUCAUGGAUGGGUGAAAGAUCCAUUCAAAGUACAACAUAGAUUUCUAUGAAACAGAGUCUAAAAAGUACAUUGCUGUGGUUUCAGAUUCCGCAUCCCAAUUAACCUUUAAGAAACUACUACUUCUUUUAAAAAAGAAUAGCCACAAUUUUCUGUAGAAGCUUUUAAAAUGC